rnacentral:rRNA from 1 species
GAUCCUGGCUCAGAAUCAACGCUGGCGGCGUGCCUCAGACAUGCAAGUCGAACGAUUAAACUUUCCUUCGGGAAAGAUAUAAAGUGGCGCACGGGUGAGUAACACGUAAGUAAUCUACCUUCGAGUGGGGAAUAACGUCGGGAAACCGACGCUAAUACCGCAUAAUGCAGCGGCACCUAAUGGUGACAGUUGUUAAAGGAGCAAUUCGCUUGAAGAGGAGCUUGCGGCAGAUUAGCUAGUUGGUAAGGUAACGGCUUACCAAGGCUACGAUCUGUAACCGGUCUAAGAGGACGGUCGGUCACACUGACACUGAAUAACGGGUCAGACUCCUACGGGAGGCAGCAGUCGGGAAUUUUGGGCAAUGGGCGAAAGCCUGACCCAGCAACGCCGCGUGAAGGAUGAAGUAUUUCGGUAUGUAAACUUCGAAAGAAUGGGAAGAAUCAAUGACGGUACCAUUUAUAAGGUCCGGCUAACUACGUGCCAGCAGCCGCGGUAAUACGUAGGGACCAAGCGUUGUUCGGAUUUACUGGGCGUAAAGGGCGCGUAGGCGGCAAUUCAAGUCAUCUGUGAAAUCUCCGGGCUUAACCCGGAACGGUCAGAUGAUACUGCUUUGCUAGAGUGCGGAAGGGGCAAUCGGAAUUCUUGGUGUAGCGGUGAAAUGCGUAGAUAUCAAGAGGAACACCUGAGGUG